GUACCACACUGUGGAGCCCACCUCGCUGUCAUAGGCCUGCGGCUCUGAAGGAUGGCUUUGCCCGCUCCCGCUCUGCCCCUCAAGUGGAACCCAAGCUGGGCUCAGAAUCUGUAGAGUGAGGCCCCACCAAGGGAAACGACACCCACGGCCUGAGAGCCAGGUGGAGUCCUGCCACUCAGCUGCCUGCCUUUGCUCCCACCCUCUCCCACCCUCAAAGAGGUCUCGAGGGGACACUCUGAAGGCACCUGGCUCAGAACCACUGCCAUCCAAGGAGCGAGGAGUCCCAGGGCUGAGCAAAUGCAGCGGGGAGGUCGGCAGUUCCCCUGCUUCCCGAUCCUCAUUUUCUGCUUCACUUGACUCCUCCAGAUAGGAGCUGCUCUCACUGCCCACACUGCUGUUAUAACUCCGGAAACUAUCAUAGCCACCAAACAGCUCCAAGUCGUCAUCUUCCUCUUCCUCCAUUGGUUCUGAAGAUGGGGUCUCCUAAUGGAGGAUGACACAAACCAGGUAGAAAGAAUUAUGAUUGGCUUUAGUGCACGGGGGGAGAAGCUGCAGAUCUGCUAUCAGCCCCCUCACACUUUCGGGAACCUUUCAAAUACCCCUUUUACAAACACCAAGAUCAUUACUUCUAUUUACACAUUUCUCCACCAUGAUGCAAUUCAACAGCUUAACAAGACAGAAAAUAUGUGUUAGGAAUUCACCAGGCUCCUCUGUGGAUUUACAAAUGAUGAUAUUUUAACAUGGUUCAAAUAGAAUACUGUAUAACAAUGUGGGCCAGGUGCGGUGGCUCAUGCCUGUAAUCCUAGCACUUUGGGAGGCCGAGGCUGGCAGAUCACCUGAGGUCAGGAGUUCGAGACCAGCCUGGCCAAGAGGGUGAAACCCUGUCUCUACAAAAAAAUACAAGAAAAAAUUAGCCAGGCGUGGUGGCGGGCACCUGUAGUCCAGCUACUUGGGAGGCUGGGGCAGAGAAUUGCUUGAACCCAGGAGGCAAAGGUUGUAGUGGGCCAAGAUCGUGCCACUGCACUCCAGUCUGCGUGACAGAGCAAGACUCCAUCUCAAAAAAAAAAAAAAAGUGAAA
ensembl:lncRNA L3MBTL2-AS1 L3MBTL2 antisense RNA 1